rnacentral:misc_RNA from 1 species
UUUUUCUGAUUUAGUCAUGAUUUAUAUUCGGAAUUUAAUUUGAAAAAAAUUCUAAUAUUUCAACACUGUAUACGACUCACAUCUGGAACAGCGCACUCCAAAGUCCAAUCCUAUGCCAAUCAAACUCGCAGCAAACAAAAGCACGCUAGUAAAGCAGGGCAAAAAUAAAGCAAAAUUUGUGAACCCAAGCAUCAAAUUUCUACGGAUUUGAACAGAAGCACGUAUGUACACAGCUCAACUACAACUAAAGCACGGGCGCAACCAAACCGAAAGCCACACCUCAACCACCGCUGCCUCUGCCUGCACGGUGCUACAACGGCCCAGAUCUCGCCACGCGCCCGUCGUCCUCCACCUUGGCCGCCCACUCCGCCGCUCGCCUCCCCGACGCAAACCGCCGCACACUUCCCAGCCCCGGCGGUGGCGCCGUCGCCUCCUCCGCGGACCUCGCCGCUGCAGCCUCCUCGGGCGGCGGCGGGGACUGGUCGACGCACUCGACGGCGCUGUGCCUGGACCGGCUCCGGCUGCGCUGCAUGAAGAAGCCGCAGCACCCAGGCGCCCCGGAGCCGCGGCCGCCUCCGAGGCGCGCGCGCGCUCGCUCGUGGUCCGAGAGGACCUUCCCGAUGCAGGACACCUUGGGCGACCCGGGGUCCGGGACGGCCGCCUUGGACGCGCGCCCGCCGCCGGGCCUGGCCUUCCCAGGAAACAUGGCGGGUGGGCGGUGGCGGUGCCCCCGCGCGCACGCGCCGAGCUUCCCGGAAAGCCCGAUGAUGGGCGCCGCCGUGGGCUUCAGGUUGCCCGAGAACCUCUGCGAGGACCCGGCGGCGCCGGGGUGCUGGCUCUUGAGGACGCACUUGGGGUUGGUGUUCUCCUUGAGCGAGUCGUCGCGGUCGUACACGCCGUUGAUCUCCGACCACGCGAUGUCGUCUCCGAGGCGCAGCUGCGUCGACUCCGGCGGGUCGCCACCGAGGUGGUCUCGCGAGGCGCGCGCACGCGAACGCGAUGGAGGAGUUCGGAGUUUUGCACGCGCCUUGCCUCCGUUUUCCAGCGUGCGCAACGCAUGGUU